rnacentral:rRNA from 1 species
UACAGAGGGGGCAAGCGUUAUUCGGAAUUAUUGGGCGUAAAGGGCGCGUAGGCGGCAUGGCAAGUGGAAGGUGAAAUCCCUCGGCUUAACCGAGGAACUGCCCUCCAAACUGCUUUGCUUGAGGCCGGGAGAGGUGAGUGGAAUUCCCAGUGUAGCGGUGAAAUGCGUAGAUAUUGGGAGGAACACCAGUGGCGAAGGCGG